rnacentral:rRNA from 1 species
AGCGAACGCUGGCGGCAGGCCUAACACAUGCAAGUCGAACGAACCUUUCGGGGUUAGUGGCGGACGGGUGAGUAACACGUGGGAACGUGCCUUUAGGUUCGAAAUAACUCAGGGAAACUUGUGCUAAUGCCGAAUGUGCCCUUCGGGGGAAAGAUUUAUCGCCUUUAGAGCGGCCCGCGUCUGAUUAGCUAGUUGGUUGAGGUAAUGGCUCACCAAGGCGACGAUCAGUAGCUGGUCUGAGAGGAUGAUCAGCCACAUUGGGACUGAGACACGGCCCAAACUCCUACGGGAGGCAGCAGUGGGGAAUCUUGCGCAAUGGGCGAAAGCCUGACGCAGCCAUGCCGCGUGAAUGAUGAAGGUCUUAGGAUUGUAAAAUUCUUUCACCGGGGACGAUAAUGACGGUACCCGGAGAAGAAGCCCCGGCUAACUUCGUG